rnacentral:rRNA from 1 species
UACGAAGGGGGCUAGCGUUGCUCGGAAUCACUGGGCGUAAAGCGCACGUAGGCGGCUUGUUAAGUCAGGGGUGAAAUCCUGGAGCUCAACUCCAGAACUGCCUUUGAUACUGGCAAGCUUGGAGUCCGGGAGAGGUGAGUGGAACUGCGAGUGUAGAGGUGAAAUUCGUAGAUAUUCGCAAGAACACCAGUGGCGAAGGCGGCUCACUGGCCCGGUACUGACGCUGAGGUGCGAAAGCGUGGGGAGCGAACAGG